CCUGCACUGUCCUGAGUCCUGACUCUGAAUGAGGCAUUGUGUCCUUACUGGGUGCAGGACUCAGUCUAGCGGGGCCCCUGCCUGCUUUUGCUCUCACGUCAUCCUCACAAUAAUCCUUCGAUCGUGGAUAUUGGUAUCAUCCACAGUAUAGACACAAGGAAAGUGAGAUCUAGAGAAUUAAUGUCUGCCCAUGGUCAUGGAGCCACUGGGUUUUCUCCACAGCGAACCCAUCAUUGUUCAGAGUUUCUAGAGGUGGUUUGCCUUGUUAAGAAAGUUUCCAUACAAGGCAGUACAGACUCGAAACUCUGAUCAGUCACCACUGCCUGGCCCCUUGGUGACCGAAUGCCUCCUUGGCUGUACGCCUGGUUAUAUAUUUGUGAUACCACACAUUUUAUCCAUGGCAUUUGCCUAAUAAAGACUGGUUUUAUGUGCAAUGAAGAUAAAGACAAGGACAGCUGGUUUACCGAUGACCGAUGGCAACCCCAGGCACUUUCCCUGCUGGGCACAUCUCAUCUUCCCUCUGCAGGUGACAGCAGCAGCUCCGGCAGUUACCUUGAGCCACUCAGCUCAGAAGCAGUGGGCGGUACCGAGCCCUGGAGGCCAGGCGGGCUCAGGAUCUGGCCAACUUCCUUACUCCUCACCUGUGCCUGGUCCAGGCCUCUCCUGGGUCCCAGGGGACUUGGUGGAUGCUCAGUCACUGCUGUACCGUUGUCAUGACAGCAGCUGGAGGAAAGAUACAGCAGUGAACAAAGCACAAGAGAUCUCAGCCUCAUGGAACUCAAAUCCCUGUCCUUGUGGAGCAACACAGACAACACACAAGUCCAAAGGGGAAACUGGCCCUUCAAAAAAAUUAUCCGAGCCGCUACAUGAUCUACAGGAGCACGCUUGAAUGGGUGUAUGUAUGUAUCUGUUGAGCUGCCUAUGGCUCUGAACCUCCUUUUGGCCAUUUUUCAAUGGGCGGUUGGAACAACUUGCUUCCCAGUGAGAGCACCUGCCCCAGUGAUUGACAGACGCCAAGGGAAGGACCACAUCCAUCUCAAAGAACAUCAGUCAGGUCUGCCCACCUAGCAGUUUCAAGUUGGAAGGAGGCUAGGGACUGGUAACAUGGCCAUAUGGGGAGAAGGUGCAGUCUCUCCAACUCUGCACACUAGGUGUGCUUGCUUGCCCUGCAGACCAGCUCACACCUGGCAGCUGUUAUUCCCUCUCCUAAGAAGUGAGAUGAGGCACAGCUGAAUUCAGAACUAGCUCCAAAGAGCUGCUCUGAGUGACUCUUGCAGAGAAAAGAGUAAGCUUCCAUGCAUUUCCCAGGCUGGAGGGCACAUCACUCGUUGCAAUCGCCUGAUGCUUCUCACUUGGGGCUUUUAGGGGCUCAUGGAGUUACAAAGCAGUUAGUCUUAUCUCCCUCUGUGUACUUCCCUCCUCCUUCCCCUGCCCAGAGACGGAGGAGUCUUGGACUUGGGGACGACACUGACCCUUGGCUAAGAUGUGCCUGUGCUGACAGAGAUGGAGCCAAGACUCAGCAGCUGUGAGUGGAGAGAGAGCCGAAGCUUCAAGGCAAGGGUCUUAUGCAAAGGAUCUAACCAUCUUUUAUCUGGUGGGACUGUCGACAUUUCUGUUUAUAACUGAUGCAUUUGUACAACCGGGACACACUUUAGAGGGGGAAACACCCUUUAUCCAAAUGUCCAAGUACUAUAGAAAAAUGAACAUCUUACUUUUCACAAUACCAAACAAGAUUUGAUUUUCUUUUCAUAGCACAUGGAUUUUAUUUUG